rnacentral:misc_RNA from 1 species
UGGCUCUGGCAUCGAUGAAGAACGCAGCGAAAUGCGAUAAGUAAUGCGAAUUGCAGAAUUUCAGUGAGUCAUCGAAUCUUUGAACGCACAUUGCGCCCUUUGGUAUUCCGAAGGGCAUGCCUGUUCGAGCGUCAUUAUCACCCCUCGGGCCCCGUGCUCGGUGUUGGACGGCCGGUUCGGGCAACCGAACCCCUCCUAAAGACAAUGACGGCGGCCUGUGGCUCCCCCGGUACACUGAGCUUUUUACGAGGCACGUACCGGGCGGCGCUCAGGACCCGGUCCUCUCCUCUCAGCAGGAAACUUCUCAUGGUUGACCUCGGAUCAGGUAGGAAUACGCGCUGA